rnacentral:lncRNA from 1 species
CUUUCCACUUGGCCAGCGCCAUCUUGUCUGAUCCUUACUGUACACGUGGCUGGCCAAGAGAAGAGAAGAUGGAGCGGCCAUUUUGAUCAUGCCUAGUCCCAGAAUAUAUCAGCUGUGAAAAUAAGUGAAAGAAAGAUUUUCUUAUCUCCAACAUUUCUGGGAAGGGGUGUGUCUGUGGAUUUUAUGUUACUGGAAAGAGACAAUCCAGUAGUCCACUUUGUCAGGAGUGUUUCAAACAACAUCUGUGAACCCACUGGACUUCAAGCUCCUACAGGCUAGAGAUUUGGUCUAUUUCAUCUGCAUUGUGAAAGGUCCUGGAGACUGAGAAUCAGGAAUUACUAGACUAUAAUGGAUGAGAUUUAUAAAAAAUAAGAUGAAGGUAAGCAGCUGUGCACAGCUGCUCUGCUAUAUUGGGAGGAAACUAGAACAAAGACACAAAACAAGAGUUGCAAGGGUAUAUGUACAUGUUCUGCCUGUGUUUAAGAGCCUAUCUAUGUUGCAUUUUGAGUUAUCUUGCUGGAGGAUAAGUUUGCAAGUUUGAGGCAAAAAGGCUUUGUGCUCUUGUGGUAAGAUCAUCAGGGAACAGCUCUCUGGAGGUGGUGCAGUGCAUAAGAGAGAAACUGGCUAGUGGUGGAAAUAAUACACUCCUUGGAAAAAGUAAAAGGAAAAUGUAAAAUGGAGUCUACCUUCUGGAUGCAAAGAAAUUCUCAUCAUCACGUGAUAGCAAGAUAGAAAAUAUGGUGACAACAAAAUUUUGACCAUUUAUAAAUAAUAAGUGAACUUCCAAAAAAGAAGGGAAAUGUUUGGAGACCAAAAUUAAGAGAAGCCACAAUGGUUUUGAUAUCAGGAUGAUGCUGGCCUCAUAAAAUGAGUUAGGGAAGAGUACCUCCUUUUCAAUUGUUUGGAAUAGUUUCAGAAGAAAUGAAUUUGAUGAUGAUGUAUCUUGGGGAUGCCCUCUCUCACCACUCCUUUCAACAUAGUGGAAGUUCUGGCCAGCACAAUCAGGCUGGACAACAUGAAAAUGUCUGAUAAUACCAAGUAUUGCCAGAGUGUGGACCAAGAAAAACUCUUACAAAUACUAAUAAAACUGUAAACCAUGUGAAAAACAAUUUAAUAUUGACUGUAUCAUACCCUGAAACAGAAAUCCACUCCUAGGUGAUACAUUAACUAGAAAAAUUUUUAUGCACAUUCAUAAAGAGAUAUAAACAAACAUGUUCCCAACAGUAUUACUUAUAAUAGUAAAAACUGUCAUCAGAAUGUGAAUGUGGUGAGUUUAUACAAUUAACUAUUAUGCAGCAUCAAAAAUCAGUCAACCAGAGUGACACAUAUGAAUAUGAAUCAUUAUUAUUUACAUAAUGUUGAUAUUUUAAAAAUCAAAAGCAAUUUGCAAAAGAAUGCAUACUGUAUUAUAUCAUUUAUAUAAGGGUUACCUAUGCUAAGCGAUACAAAAAUAUUGUUAGUACUCAAAGUGCACAAAAUGUAUGAAUGUAUAAAUGUACAAAUAAAUACAAAAUUUAGAAAUGAGGUUAUCUUUUGUGUGUGGGGGAAUGGGGUGGACAGAGAGAGGAAUGGGAGAGGAGGCUUCAGUCAUAUCCAUAAUGCUUUCUUAAUGGGCAUAAUGGGUAUAUCAGUGGUCACUGUAUUUUUUCAUCUUAGGCAAAUUAAUGUUUACAAAAUAAUUAUUCAAAUGAAUUAAAAUCCACAAUAAAGAAGCAUUUUCUUUAGCUAGAACAGAUUGUUAAUUUGAGAGGCCAAUUUCAUAGUAAAAGCCCUCUAACAAAUUCAUUUGAAGAAAAAUCUUAAUGACCUACCUCCAUUUUCUAUUCAGAACCUCAGCCUGGUUUUUCAAAAACUAACCACAACAAAGCAUCACUGUCCACCCUUACAGUACCCCACUCAUACUGAUCCUGUCUUACUAAGGUCUACUGUCUCUGAGGUUUUCAGACCUUCAUCUUCAUGCAUCAAAAUUCAGUAAUGUUUUCUAUUUCCCUAAUUACCAGUAUCUAAUUAAGCCAAUCCUGUUAAGAUACUAACAACUCAAAAACUAAAAGUGUUAUCCUGUCUAUAUGUACUUUUAUUUUAAUGAGUAAUUGCCAAAGGGGAUAUCUUUUACGACAAGUGUAGCAUUUCAGGCAUCCAAAGGGAAAUAUUCAAAGAUAUUUGACAUCUUAUUGUUUAAUAUCGCCAUGAGUUUUAUUUUCAAAUAAGGUUAGUCUUGCUUAUCCUAAGAAGCAUUAUCAUUUCAAAGAUUUUAGCAGUGUGGGUCAAAGAAAUUGAUUAACAACUUGCAAAAUUUUAUAGCCUUAAUGUCUAAACAUUUAUAGAUGUAAUAGGAACAUCAAAUCUGUUAAAACUGCCUUGAUCUAAUUUGUAAAAUGGUGAUAGUUUUUAGUGUUGGGCCUCUGCUUGAACAACAUCCAAAGUAUAUUUAGCAUUUAUCUUUCUCCAAUUUUUAGACAGUCAUCUGCAUUUCCAGAGGGUUGAUGACAGGGCAGCUUGAAGUUUAAAGACAGCACCUGCAUUUGCAUUUCAAUAGUUCCAUAAUUCUAUGAAACCACUGAAAUCUCUUCAAUGUCUCAUUGUUUAAAUAGUAAAGGUGGCCAGAUUUUGUUCAAGAUUCAUAAUCUUACAAAAAUAUGGAGCCGUUGUAUUCAAAGCUUAUUCUAAAGAGAAUACCUUCUCUUUACACCUUAUAAUCCUGUUUGUUAAAACCCAUAACAAUUAGGUGGACAUCUGAACAUAUUUAAAGUAUUUUAUCCAUUGGAUUUUUAUGGUCCAAAAUCAAGAUUCUAGGACAAGAUAAAUGGGAAAGGAGGACAUGUAGUUUGAAAUGUGUUAUAUCAGCACCAUCAAUUUUUAAUUCGGGGUUCCAAAAUUAUCUUUUUCUCCAUUGGAAAGGAAUACGUUUGUUUCCACGUAGGAAACUACUUCCACUUAACACACAGAAGGUAACUUCAUUGGUAGGUAUGCUGCCUGUAUGCAAGGAUCUGCAGUUACUCAUAACUGGCUGUGUUUUUAAACAGAAUAAUUUUUGUCAAAUAUUUUGAUACAAAACAAUGAAGCCUGAAGUUAAAAUAAGAAAUUCUGGGCUCAAGUGCAGGGCAACUGGACACCCUUAUGAGAUGAGCCUUUGUGCCCUUCCUGUAAGUGUGGAUUAGAUUAUCCACCACCUAGAUUUAAGAAAGGAUUAAAUGAAAGAAUAUAUGUGAAAGUACUGUGUUGACUGUAUUAAAAAGAACUGGAAACCCAUAAAGGACCGCUAUAAUUGUGUAAUUGUUGCGCCAGGUUAUUUUGUCAAUACAUUUUUAAUCAGCACCUAAAAUAUUUCAUGUCACUUCAUCCAGCAGAGACAUUGAGAUGUGGCAAAAUGUUU